rnacentral:rRNA from 1 species
GAUGAACGCUGGCGGCGUGCCUAAUACAUGCAAGUCGGACGGAGCGCUUCGGCGCUCAGUGGCGAACGGGUGAGUAACGCGUGAGGAACCUGCCUCAAAGAGGGGGACAACAGUUGGAAACGACUGCUAAUACCGCAUAAGCCCACGACCCGGCAUCGGGUUGAGGGAAAAGGAGCAAUCCGCUUUGAGAUGGCCUCGCGUCCGAUUAGCUAGUUAGUGGGGUAACGGCCCACCAAGGCAACGAUCGGUAGCCGGACUGAGAGGUUGAACGGCCGCAUUGGGACUGAGACACGGCCCAG